UACGAAGGGUGCAAGCGUUACUCGGAAUUACUGGGCGUAAAGCGUGCGUAGGUGGUGAGUUAAGUCUGUCGGUGAAAGCCCCGGGCUCAACCUGGGAAUGGCGAUGGAUACUGGCUCGCUAGAGUGCGGUAGAGGAGAGUGGAAUUCCCGGUGUAGCAGUGAAAUGCGUAGAGAUCGGGAGGAACAUCAGUUGCGAAGGCGGCUCUCUGGACCAGCACUGACACUGAGGCACGAAAGCGUGGGGAGCAAACAGG
rnacentral:rRNA from 1 species